rnacentral:rRNA from 1 species
CAGUCGCCGCGGUAAUACAGAGGGUGCGAGCGUUAAUCGGAUUUACUGGGCGUAAAGCGUGCGUAGGCGGCUUUUUAAGUCGGAUGUGAAAUCCCUGAGCUUAACUUAGGAAUUGCAUUCGAUACUGGGAAGCUAGAGUAUGGGAGAGGAUGGUAGAAUUCCAGGUGUAGCGGUGAAAUGCGUAGAGAUCUGGAGGAAUACCGAUGGCGAAGGCAGCCAUCUGGCCUAAUACUGACGCUGAGGUACGAAAGCAUGGGGAGCAAACAGGAUUAGAUACCCCAGUAGUCCUGUCUCUUAUACA